rnacentral:rRNA from 1 species
AGAGUUUGAUCAUGGCUCAGGAUGAACGCUGGCGGCGUGCUAAGGCAUGCAAGUCGUGGGACAGAUUUUUUUUGUAGUAAUACUUAAGAAACACUGACCGGCAAACGGGAGAGUAACACAUUGAUAACUUACCUUUAAGACGAGGAUAGCCCACCGAAAGGUGGAUUAAUACUCGAUAGGCAUGAGGGGGCUUGAGGCCAUUCUCAUGUAAAACUUCGGUGCUUAAAGAGAGGUCUAUGUCUGAUUAGUUAGUUGGUGGGGUAAUGGCCUACCAAGACGAUGAUCAGUACCGGGCGUGAGAGCGUGACCCGGCUCACUGGGACUGAGAUACUGCCCAGACACCUACGGGUGGCUGCAGUCAGGAAUAUUCCGCAAUGCACGAAAGUGUGACGGAGCGACGCCGCGUGCAGGAAGAAGCCCCUCGGGGUGUAAACUGCUUUUAUAUGGGAAGAAUUUUUGACGGUACCAUAUGAAUAAGAGGUUGCAAACUCUGUGCCAGCAGCAGCGGUAAUACAGAGACCUCAAGCGUUAUCCGGAUUCAUUGGGCGUAAAGGGUCCGCAGGUGGUUUUUCAAGUUGGAAGUCAAAUCUUUGGGCUUAACCUAGAGACUGCUUACAAUACUGGGAAACUUGAGACUGGGAGAGGUAUACGGAACUGUUGGUGUAGUAGUAAAAUGCGUUGAUAUCAACAGGAACACCAAAGGCGAAAGCAGUAUACUGGAACAGUUCUGACACUCAUGGACGAAAGCGUGGGGAGCGAAUGGGAUUAGAUACCCCAGUAGUCCACGCCCUAAACGAUGAUCUCUAGUCUUUCGGAGUAUCGACCCUCUGAGAGACGUAGCUAGCGCGUUAAGAGAUCCGCCUGGGAAGUACGGCCGCAAGGCUAAAACUCAAAGGAAUUGACGG